rnacentral:rRNA from 1 species
UACGAAGGGGGCUAGCGUUGCUCGGAAUCACUGGGCGUAAAGCGCACGUAGGCGGAUUGCUAAGUCAGGGGUGAAAUCCUGGAGCUCAACUCCAGAACUGCCUUUGAUACUGGCGAUCUUGAGUCCGGGAGAGGUGAGUGGAACUGCGAGUGUAGAGGUGAAAUUCGUAGAUAUCGGGAGGAACACCGGUGGCGAAGGCGGCGACCUGGGUAGAUACUGACGCUGAGGCGCGAAAGCGUGGGGAGCAAACAGG